rnacentral:rRNA from 1 species
CUACGUGCCAGCAGCCGCGGUAAUACGGAAGGUCCAGGCGUUAUCCGGAUUUAUUGGGUUUAAAGGGAGCGUAGGCUGGAGAUUAAGUGUGUUGUGAAAUGUAGACGCUCAACGUCUGAAUUGCAGCGCAUACUGGUUUCCUUGAAUACGCACAACGUUGGCGGAAUUCGUCGUGUAGCGGUGAAAUGCUUAGAUAUGACGAAGAACUCCGAUUGCGAAGGCAGCUGACGGGAGCGCAACUGACGCUUAAGCUCGAAGGUGCGGGUAUCAAACAGGAUUAGAUACCCUGGUAGUCCGCACAGUAAACGAUGGAUGCCCGCUGUUGGUACCUGGUAUCAGCGGCUAAGCGAAAGCAUUAAGCAUCCCACCUGGGGAGUACGCCGGCAACGGUGAAACUCAAAGGAAUUGACGGGGGCCCGCACAAGCGGAGGAACAUGUGGUUUAAUUCGAUGAUACGCGAGGAACCUUACCCGGGCUUGAA